rnacentral:rRNA from 1 species
AUUGAACGCUGGCGGCAGGCCUAACACAUGCAAGUCGAGCGGAGCGGCGGACGGGGGAGGAAUGCCUAGGAAUCUGCCUGGUAGUGGGGGAUAGCGUCCAGAAACGGGCGCUAAUACCGCAUACUCUAAGAUGAGCCUAGGUCGGAUUGGCUAGUUGGUGGGGGAAAGGCCUACCAAGGCGACGAUCCGGAACUGGUCGGAGUGGAUGAUCAGUCACACUGGAACGGAGACACGGUCCAGACUCCGACGGGAGGCAGCAGUGGGGAAUAUUGGACAAUGGGCGAAAGCCUGAUACAGCCAUGCCGCGUGUGUGAAGAAGGGCUUCGGAUUGUAAAGCACUUUAAGUUGGGAGGCGUUACCAACAGAAUAAGCACCGGCUAACUUCGUGCCAGCAGCCGCGGUAAUUC